GUUAAUAUAGUUUAACACAAAACAUUAGUCUGUGGGCCUAAAAACAGAAGAUAAACCUUCUUAUUAACC
rnacentral:tRNA from 1 species